CGURMGGAUSGUCAUUGRAGACGAUGACCUUCAGUUCGGCUGGCCCUAGAASAGGUGCUGCAUGGCUGUCGUAGGACGUGURGUGAGAUGUUGGGUUAAGUCCCGCAACGAGCGCAACCCUCGMCCUUAGUUGCCAGCAUUGAGUUGGGCACUCUAAGGGGACUGCCGGUGAUAAGCCGAGAGGAAGGUGGGGAUGACKUCAAGUCCUCAUGGCCCUUACGGGCUGGGCUACACACGUGCUACAAUGGUGGUGACAGUGGGCAGCGAGACRGCGAUGUCGAGCUAAUCUCCAAAAGCCAUCUCAGUUCGGAUUGCACUCUGCAACUCGAGUGCAUGAAGUUGGAAUCGCUAGUAAUCGCAGAUCAGCAUGCUGCGGUGAAUACGUUCCCGGGUCUUGUACACACCGA
rnacentral:rRNA from 1 species